GCAUGACGGCUUGACGUAUACUGCAGUCGAACGAAGCUGGUAUAUGAUUGGUGCUUGCAUCAUGAUUUACAUUUGAGUGAGUGGCGAACUGGUGAGUAACACGUGGGAAACCUGCCCAGAAGCGGGGGAUAACACCUGGAAACAGAUGCUAAUACCGCAUAACAACUUGGACCGCAUGGUCCGAGUUUGAAAGAUGGCUUCGGCUAUCACUUUUGGAUGGUCCCGCGGCGUAUUAGCUAGAUGGUGGGGUAACGGCUCACCAUGGCAAUGAUACGUAGCCGACCUGAGAGGGUAAUCGGCCACAUUGGGACUGAGACACGGCCCAAACUCCUACGGGAGGCAGCAGUAGGGAAUCUUCCACAAUGGACGAAAGUCUGAUGGAGCAACGCCGCGUGAGUGAAGAAGGGUUUCGGCUCGUAAAACUCUGUUGUUAAAGAAGAACAUAUCUGAGAGUAACUGUUCAGGUAUUGACGGUAUUUAACCAGAAAGCCACGGCUAACUACGUGCCAGCAGCCGCGGUAAUACGUAGGUGGCAAGCGUUGUCCGGAUUUAUUGGGCGUAAAGCCAGCGCAGGCGGUUUUUUAAGUCUGAUGUGAAAACCCCUGGGCUCAACCCAAAAAAUGGCUCGCGAAACUGGGGAAAAGUGGGUGCCAAAAAAGACCUUGGAAC
rnacentral:rRNA from 1 species